rnacentral:rRNA from 1 species
GACGAACGCUGGCGGCGUGCCUAAUACAUGCAAGUAGAACGCUGAGGUUUGGUGUUUACACUAGACUGAUGAGUUGCGAACGGGUGAGUAACGCGUAGGUAACCUGCCUCAUAGCGGGGGAUAACUAUUGGAAACGAUAGCUAAUACCGCAUAAGAGUAAUUAACACAUGUUGGUUAUUUAAAAGGAGCAAUUGCUUCACUGUGAGAUGGACCUGCGUUGUAUUAGCUAGUUGGUGAGGUAAAGGCUCACCAAGGCGACGAUACAUAGCCGACCUGAGAGGGUGAUCGGCCACACUGGGACUGAGACACGGCCCAGACUCCUACGGGAGGCAGCAGUAGGGAAUCUUCGGCAAUGGACGGAAGUCUGACCGAGCAACGCCGCGUGAGUGAAGAAGGUUUUCGGAUCGUAAAGCUCUGUUGUUAGAGAAGAACGUUGGUAGGAGUGGAAAAUCUACCAAGUGACGGUAACUAACCAGAAAGGGACGGCUAACUACGUGCCAGCAGCCGCGGUAAUACGUAGGUCCCGAGCGUUGUCCGGAUUUAUUGGGCGUAAAGCGAGCGCAGGCGGUUCUUUAAGUCUGAAGUUAAAGGCAGUGGCUUAACCAUUGUACGCUUUGGAAACUGGAGGACUUGAGUGCAGAAGGGGAGAGUGGAAUUCCAUGUGUAGCGGUGAAAUGCGUAGAUAUAUGGAGGAACACCGGUGGCGAAAGCGGCUCUCUGGUCUGUAACUGACGCUGAGGCUCGAAAGCGUGGGGAGCAAACAGG